CCUACGGGAGGCAGCAGUAGGGAAUUUUGCGCAAUGGGGGAAACCCUGACGCAGCAACACCGCGUGAAUGUUAAGCCCUUCGGGGUGUAAAGUUCUGUCAAUAGGGACGAAUUUUGACUGUACCUAUAAAGGAAGCACCGGCUAACUCCGUGCCAGCAGCCGCGGUAAUACGGGGGGUGCAAGCGUUGUCCGGAAUCAUUGGGUGUAAAGGGAGCGUAGACGGUUCUGCAAGUCUGACGUGAAAGCCCGUGGCUUAACCGCGGAACGGCUUUGGAAACUGUGGAACUGGAGUGCUGGAGAGGCAAGCGGAAGUCCUAGUGUAGCGGUGAAAUGCGUAGAUAUUAGGAGGAACACCAGUGGCGAAGGCGGCUUGCUGGACAGUAACUGACGUUGAGGCUCGAAAGCGUGGGGAGCAAACAGGAUUAGAUACCCCUGUAGUC
rnacentral:rRNA from 1 species